rnacentral:lncRNA from 1 species
AGGGUUCCCACUGCUGCAGCCACACUCCCAUUCCCUCUGAAUUUGAGGGGCCUUUGCUAGGCACAUCCAGGGCAGCGCUGCCCAGCCAAGCCCUUUUCUGAAGGAAGAGAUCUGCAGGAUGGUGAGGCCCUGCCUUGAUGAAAUUCGCCGUGCCAGGCAGCCAGGCAGUGCUAAAGACCCUGCCACUUAUGGCCUCAGGGUUUCAAGCUCUCAGGCUUGCUUCUCCCCCCU